GACGAACGCUGGCGGCGUGCCUAAUACAUGCAAGUUGAGCGCUGAAGGUUGGUACUUGUACCAACUGGAUGAGCAGCGAACGGGUGAGUAACGCGUGGGGAAUCUGCCUUUGAGCGGGGGACAACAUUUGGAAACGAAUGCUAAUACCGCAUAAAAACUUUAAACACAAGUUUUAAGUUUGAAAGAUGCAAUUGCAUCACUCAAAGAUGAUCCCGCGUUGUAUUAGCUAGUUGGUGAGGUAAAGGCUCACCAAGGCGAUGAUACAUAGCCGACCUGAGAGGGUGGUCGGCCACAUUGGGAAUGAGACAAGGCCCAAACUCCUACGGGAGGCAGCAGGAGGGAACUUUCGGCAAUGGACGAAAGUCUGACCGAGCAACGCCGCGUGAGGGAAGAAGGUUCUCGGAUCGUAAAACUCUGUUGGUAGAGAAGAACGUUGGUGAGAGUGGAAAGCUCAUCAAGUGACGGUAACUACCCAGAAAGGGACGGCUAACUACGUG
rnacentral:rRNA from 1 species